rnacentral:rRNA from 1 species
UACGGAGGGUGCAAGCGUUAUCCGGAUUCACUGGGUUUAAAGGGUGCGUAGGCGGGUUGGUAAGUCCGUGGUGAAAUCUCCGAGCUUAACUCGGAAACUGCCGUGGAUACUAUCAAUCUUGAAUAUCGUGGAGGUAAGCGGAAUAUGUCAUGUAGCGGUGAAAUGCUUAGAGAUGACAUAGAACACCAAUUGCGUAGGCAGCUUACUACACGAUCAUUGACGCUGAGGCGCGACAGCGUGGGGAGCAAACAGG